UUAAUUAAAUCAUCCCAUGCACCUGUCAAGAACCAGAAAACGCGUGUUGUUUGUUUCAAGAAGACCAUCGUAUAGUCACUAUCCUCAUUUUCCCAAAAUACACAAAACCAGAGCUCCUUUCUCCUCCCUUUCUCCCUCUCCUUCAUUAUCACCAAACAAAGAAACCCUAAUCCUCACCCUAGCCUGCGUCCAUGGAAGACCCACCUGCCACACCUGUGAGAAUUCCCCUAAAUCAGCCCCUCCAGCUCGCAAAUCCUCUAAGAGCAGGAAAAAUAAGUCCCAAUGAGUGAAAAUAAAUUAGAAAUGGUUCAAUCUAUCAUUUAAGAGUUUUGAAAAGUUGAGAUAUGGAGAGAGAAGACUUUGAUUUGAGUUCAAAAUUCAAGUUCGUUUUCCCACCAUUUUCUUUAUUUUUGGGUUUCAAAUCCAGAUUUUUGAAUCUAGAUUUUGCUAUAUAUACGUGUAUUCGCUCACCCAUUGAAGGACAAGGGAACAAGAGCGAAGAAGAGGUGGAAAAUCGGAGAAAGGAACAACUGAAAAAAAAAGUUGGAGAUCUGAGAGGGGAAGAUAUGAAAAAAAAGAGGGAGAAAACAAAAUUCCUUAGGAGAUCUCAGAUCCGUGAAAAGAAAAAGAGAGGGAGAGAAGAAGAGAAAAAAAGAUUAGGAGAAAGGGAUUGUGAGGGCUGCAAGUUUCUGUUAUUGUUUUAGUGUAAGUUUGAAUUUUGAUUUUGAGUUUGCUCGCCGGAAGAUCUUGACGGAGGCCUCACGUUUGCUGCCCAAAACAAGGAUUCUGUGAUGUGAUUCUAUGUUUGUCAUCAUCAAAAAAGGAGAAUUUUUUAAGGCAUGUGGAUUUUUUAUGAUAGACAUAUGAAUGAAACAUGUUGUGAAAGCUGGUCCAUUCAAGUGUACAAAUAAAAGCUGUAGGCAAGGCUGUUGAUAAGAUGAUACUGCGCAUAGAUAGAAGUGGAUAAGCAAGAAUAUUCAGGAACCUUCUCAAACACUUAUCACUUCAAUAAAGUUGAUGAAAAAUGCAAAUAUUCAGAAGUUAAGUUAAUCUAGAAGUCCAACUGUGAUAAGGGUUCUGCAAGGAAAAAGGAUAAAGCAAAAAGAGUCCUAUUUAACUAGGGAAGGAGAAACGACUACAACAAGGAGUGAAGUUACUUGAUAGACUAAAGAAGAAAUAAGCAGAAAUCAAGAAGGACUCUACUACAGGAGAAAUUAUCAGGGUGCAUAUAUACAACAAAGCACAAUCAAGUAAUGGACUGAAUGCACAGAAAAGAAAAUCAACAAUCAGCAUAAAAGUUCACAUACUUGAAGAAGAACUUGUUUCCUUACUUAGCAAGUUGUAGACUGUGUAGUAGGUAGGUUCCUUGAGUUGUAAUGAGUCAUUUUUCUAGUCUCAGUGAUCUAUAAAAUGAGUUAGGAAUUGUGUUUUCAAGUUGGAAACUCGAAGACUUGAGAACACUUAUCUUGGGAAGAUUUGUGUUUUUGUAAAGAUAGGAAUUAGAAGUUUUAAUCCCUAGUUAACAAGAAGUCUUGUAUUUUUGUUGAUUAUUGAGGCUCAAGUAUCAUAGUGAAGUUGGGGUUAAAUCCUGUAGAGGUACAGUUCGUGGUUUUUUACACCUUUCUUGAGUCGGGUGUUUUCCACGUAAAAAUACUGUGUUUAGUAUUUACUUUUGUGAACCACGUUUACUUACUUGUUCCACAGAUAGGCAAACUAGGAGGGCUCAUACUCUAACAGAUGAUGCCUAGGUUUUUCUCUCUCUUAUGUAAGCUAAAGUUACUAGAGCAAAACCUAGUUUUUGCAAAGCUCAAAAAAUUUAUCUUCCAAAGCAAAAGCCACUCUUACGAGAAGAACAUUGCUUAUUUCAACAAAGGGACCUGAUGAGUUGUAGCUUUAGUGUUUGUUAUAUUUUUGAGUCAUGUAUCUCCCAUUCUUAAAUUGUAAAUCUACUCCUAUGUUAAAAGGAUAAUAAAUAUUUCACUUGUCUAAGUCUUUAGGUUGAGUCGCAUUAACUAGAGUUAGUUAGUCGAAUCAUCUAUUGUUUUAGUCAUGUUUGUUUUCACCAUUCUUGAUAUUUCUCUUGGGUAGAGCUACUAAGAGUAUUAACUAGAGUUAGUUGAUGAGUACAAUAUCUAGAAAUGUUGGCUAGAGUUAAUCGAUGUGGUGAUGUGGUAGAGUUACUGGGGCCAUUUUGCAAAAUAAAUACUUUGAAAACUUUUUUAAGUUUUUAGACACGUCUUAAAAAAUUAAGUAUUUAGACACUAGGAUGACAUCAUCACUUCUGAUAUACAACCUUAAUACACAAGUUUAAAACUUUACACUUUAGUCUCCACCUCAUCUAUUUUAUAUUUAAUAUUUUUCACCAUUUUUUAUAUUUUCACCAUUUUUCAUAUUUCCCUAUUUUAAUUAGAAAAAUGUCCAAGAAGCCACUAAUAGGAGCUCACGAUUUUCACCAAUAUUUUUUGAUUUCGGCAACUUUUUCGGCCAUUUUCCGAUGAAAUCUUGCUCAUCACAACUGAAAAUCUCCAUUCUUGGUCAUUGCCUCCAUUGUUGUUCCAUCUUUUUUAAAAAAAUUGCAAAAAAUAUUUUUUCACCAUUUUACUAGCUUGAAAGGCUUUUCAAAUCCACUCAAUACCUCGUCAUUAGAUAUAUUCUAAUAAUUUAUAAGCCGUACACAUAUAUUUCUCCAUCCCAGUGCUAGCUAGGAGGGCAUUGAUUAUGUCCAAAAUCCGUUCAUUCCCAUUUUUGUAUGGAGGUUUUCAUACCAGUGAUCAACCAGUCAUCGACUAGUUAUAGACCGAUACCUUAAUCUAUUAUCGAUUAGUGUGGUUUAUAAUGGCAGUAGUUGAGGUAGUUAUCGCGGGUGGUGAUUAUAUGGGUGUGUGGGAGGAGGGUCUCACGACUGUGAACCACUUUCACAAUUAAAUAACUAGACGAUGAUAUUUAUUUUUAGACCAUGAGUAGCACAUAUAUUGAAAAAAAAAUUAAUUAAUAAAAUAACAAAUAAUUAGAUUUUAUGCAAUUAAAUGAGCUUAAACAAAUCAUGUGAUCAUAUGAUAGUCCACGUAAAUUGAAGGUGGUGAUCAAAGAUGAGUGAGGUGAUGAGUUGUGGUUGAACAACCAACAUCCUUAGGGCAAUGCUUACCAAAGCACAAGUAUGUUGUGAGGUUCAUCCACUACCCAUCCUCACGCAUCUUUGAUCACCUUCUUCAAUUUACGUGGACUCUUAUACGAUCACAUGACUUGUUAAACUCCUUUAAUUGCAUAAAAUUUAAUUAUUUAUUAUUUUAUUAAUUAAUUAUUCUUUUUUUUCUAAAUAUGCUACUAAGGGUAAUAAACCAAUACAGUAUAUUGUUGACAAGGCUUUAAGUCUAUUAUUUAUACUGGACACAUUCGAUGGCCCUCAAAUCAAUUUUAUCUAUUUAAUUAUUUAUAUUUUUGAUUAUGUACUAAUAUUGUUUUGACCGUUUCACUAUAUAUCUUAGCAUUGACCGACUGUCGAUUUAUAUGGUCCAUCAUCUACCCAACGCAUGAGAAGACAUAGAUUAUAUUUAAGGCCUGUGAAAGUGGUCCAGCAGUAAUAAAAUUUAAAUAUCAUAUUUUUACAACGGUAAUAAAGUACAUGUUAAAUUAUAUCCGAUGGUAAUAUCUCAUUUCCUUUCUUGUAUAAAAGGAAAGCUAUUUUUGUUUUAGCACUCUCAUUGUUUUGUUUUAUUUUUUUGUUCAUUUUUAAACAACUACAAUGUCGCAAGCAUUCCAAACAUCAAAUGCAAAAGUGUCCUACAUUUGUCGUUGUGGUAAUCCAGCUAUUUUGAGGACGUCACGCACCAAUUCGAAUCCAGGUCGAAAAUUCUUUAACUGUAAGAUUAGAAAGGAUAAUGGCGGAUGCUCUUUUUUUAAGUGGCUUGAGGAAGACUCACCGACGAGUAGCCCAUUGACAUCAAAUUUUCAAGGCGUUUCCAAAUUUCAAAUACUACAAAGGCUUCGAAAAUAUGAAGAAAAUAGAGAUCUACUUAUGACAUUGUUAAAAGAAACCGGAGAGCAAAGUGAUUACUUGAAAGGAUCACUAAAAGAAAUCGAAAUAGAGAGGGAUCAACUAAAGCGUAGGUUGAUUUUUGGCCGAAGAAAAAGAGAAUGGCCUAAAAAAAUUAUUGUAUGGUCUGUUGUUGGUGUUGGCUUUCUCGAUAGGUGUAAUAGGAAUGUAGGAAACUGAAUAAAUUGAUGUAUGUUUUAUUAGAUCAA